rnacentral:rRNA from 1 species
GCUCAAAUUUGAAAUCUGGCUCCUGUGGGGCCCGAGUUGUAAUUUGUAGAAGAUGCUUUGGGUGUGGGCCUGGCCUAAGUUCCUUGGAACAGGACGUCGUAGAGGGUGAGAAUCCCGUAUGCGGCUGGCGCCCGCGCCCAUGUAAAGCUCUUUCGACGAGUCGAGUUGUUUGGGAAUGCAGCUCUAAAUGGGUGGUAAAUUUCAUCUAAAGCUAAAUAUUGGCCAGAGACCGAUAGCGCACAAGUAGAGUGAUCGAAAGAUGAAAAGCACUUUGGAAAGAGAGUUAAACAGUACGUGAAAUUGUUGAAAGGGAAGCGCUGGCAACCAGACUUGGGCGCUGUUGAUCCGUUAGGGUUCUCCCUGGGGUACUCAGCAGUGCGCAGGCCAGCAUCGGUUUGGGGGGUUGGAGAAAGGCUGGUGGAAUGUGGCUGCCUUCGGGCAGUGUUAUAGCCACCGGUGGCAUGCAGCCUCCCCGGACCGAGGACCGCGCUUCGGCUAGGAUGCUGGCGUAAUGGUUGUCAGCGACCC